rnacentral:rRNA from 1 species
UACAGAGGGUGCAAGCGUUAAUCGGAUUUACUGGGCGUAAAGCGCGCGUAGGCGGUUCAUUAAGUCGGUUGUGAAAUCCCUGGGCUUAACCUGGGAACUGCAGUCGAUACUGAUGGACUAGAGUACGGUAGAGGGUGGCGGAACUCCGGGUGUAGCGGUGAAAUGCGUAGAUAUCCGGAAGAACACCGAUGGCGAAGGCAACCACCUGGGCCUGUACUGACGCUGAGGUACGAAAGCGUGGGGAGCAAACAGG